rnacentral:rRNA from 1 species
GACGAACGCUGGCGGCGUGGAUUAGGCAUGCAAGUCGAGCGGCAAGGCACCUCGGUGGGCCUAGGAGCGCGAACGGUGAGUAACACGUGAACAACCUGCCCUCACAUUCUGGAUAAUUCACCGAAAGGUGUUGUAAUACAGGCGAGGAUUCUUGAGAGGCAUUUCUUGAGAAGGGAAGGCGCAAGCCGUGCGAGGAGGGGUUCGCGGAUUAUCAGGUAGUUGGGGGGUAAUGGCCUACCAAGCCGACGACGAUUAGCUGGUCUGAGAGGAUGGUCAGCCACAUUGGAACUGAGACACUGUCCAGACUCCUACGGGAGGCUGCAGUCGAGAUCUUGCACAAUGUACGAAAGUAUGAUGCAGCGACGCCGCGUGAAGGAUGAA